UACGGCCGCAUCAAUUUGAAACGCCGGUUCCCGUAAGACCACCGAAGUUAAGCAACGUCUAACCUGGUCACUACCAAGAUCGGUGACUGCAUCGGAAUAUCAGGAGCUGUG